AAUUAGAUACAUCGAUAUCUAUCGAAUGUUCCGGUGUAACCGUUUCGGAUGGUGUACAAAGGGAAAACGAAAGUUCCUGGCUGCCGUGGUUCGAAACAAUUUCCUCCGUGUCGACGUACAGAAAUACUCGCGUUCGUAUGUAUAUACUUCAUUAUUUGUCGUAUGAAAUUACCACUGUCUCGGCAAUAAUCUACGAUACACCGCGAAUCACAAAAUCUUUCGUUACUUUACGUAUCGUUAUCGUAAUGGCUCUGAGGUAUUACGUACGUUCAUGGUUUAAGAAACUCGGCAAUUAUUCGAGCGUCAUUCGAAUCCAUCCCCCGGGUAAAUCUAUAUCAUAUAUAUCUCCGAAAAAACUUGUCCAACAGAUCUCGAACUGUGAUUGGCGCUUUUCUAAUUGGCCACCGAUGCUGUUUACAUGGAAGGUCGUCUCGCGUGCUGUUCACCUUUCAAACAUCAAAGUAACGACUUGGACACUGGGUGAACGGAUCGAUUCGAAAGAUUUCUCCAGGAAGCAUUCGUUUUAUGAUGAAGUUCGAUUUGAAUUGCAAAGCAAAGAAUCCGAAAUUGGAACAGUUUUGACUUGACUGCUGGUAAUUGCGUCGGUUCCCGACAAACUGGAAGCCGACAAACGCUCGGAAAGGAACGAGUCGAAUGCUGACGAACGCGCCGCGGGCUCCGGCGAUCAACGGAAGGAUACGAGGU